rnacentral:rRNA from 1 species
CCUAACCUUGGAGUGGGGAUAACAGCUGGAAACAGCUGCUAAUACCGCAUGAUAUGUCUGUAUCACAUGGUACUGGACAUCAAAGAUCUAUCGCUCUGAGAUGGGCUCGCGUCUGAUUAGCUAGUUGGUGGGGCAACGGCCCACCAAGGCGACGAUCAGUAGCCGGACUGAGAGGUUGGCCGGCCACAUUGGGACUGAGACACGGCCCAGACUCCUACGGGAGGCAGCAG